UAUUCUAAGGCGCUUGAGAGAACUCAGGAGAAGGAACUCGGCAAAUUGACACCGUAACUUCGGAAGAAGGUGUGCCCUAUUAGUGUGUAGUGAACAACGAAGCAUGAAUGGGUUGCAAAAAAUCGGUGGCUGCGACUGUUUAUUAAAAACACAGCACUCUGCAAACACGAAAGUGGACGUAUAGGGUGUGACGCCUGCCCGGUGCUGGAAGAUUAAAUGAUGGGGUGCAAGCUCUUGAUUGAAGUCCCAGUAAACGGCGGCCGUAACAAUAACGGUCCUAAGGUAGCGAAAUUCCUUGUCGGGUAAGUUCCGACCUGCACGAAUGGCGUAACGAUGGCCACACUGUCUCCUCCUGAGACUCAGCGAAGUUGAAAUGUUUGUGAUGAUGCAAUCUCCCCGCGGAAAGACGGAAAGACCCCAUGAACCUUUACUGUAGCUUUGUAUUGGACUUUGAACAGAUCUGUGUAGGAUAGGUGGGAGGCUUUGAAGCAGGGUCGCUAGAUCUUGUGGAGCCAACGUUGAAAUACCACCCUGGUGUGUUUGAGGUUCUAACCUAGGUCCAUUAUCUGGAUCGGGGACAGUGCAUGGUAGGCAGUUUGACUGGGGCGGUCCCCUCCCAAAGCGUAACGGAGGAGUUCGAAGGUACGCUAGUUACGGUCGGACAUCGUGACGAUAGUGCAAUGGCAUAAGCGUGCUUAACUGCGAGACUGACAAGUCGAGCAGAUGCGAAAGCAGGACAUAGUGAUCCGGUGGUUCUGUAUGGAAGGGCCAUCGCUCAACGGAUAAAAGGUACUCUGGGGAUAACAGGCUGAUACCGCCCAAGAGUUCAUAUCGACGGCGGUGUUUGGCACCUCGAUGUCGGCUCAUCUCAUCCUGGGGCUGUAGCCGGUCCCAAGGGUAUGGCUGUUCGCCAUUUAAAGAGGUACGUGAGCUGGGUUUAAAACGUCGUGAGACAGUUUGGUCCCUAUCUUCCGUGGGCGCUGCAGAUUUGAGGAAGCCUGCUCCUAGUACGAGAGGACCGGAGUGGACACACCUCUGGUGUAUCGGUUGUCACGCCAGUGGCAUUGCCGAGUAGCUAAGUGUGGAAGAGAUAACCGCUGAAAGCAUCUAAGCGGGAAACUCGUUUCAAGAUGAGAUCUGCCGGGGCCUUGAGCCCCCUAAAGAGUCGUUCAAGACCAGGACGUUGAUAGGUCAGGUGUGGAAGCGCAGUAAUGCGUUAAGCUAACUGAUACUAAUUGCUCGUGCGGCUUGACCAA
rnacentral:rRNA from 1 species